rnacentral:lncRNA from 1 species
UUUUUUUUUAACGAGGAUCUAGAUAAUUCACCCCACACAUAAUUUUCAAUUGCUACACAUAUCUCCCCCUAAUGUUAGAAAAUCUAACAUUUACCCCAACCUCAUUUAGGGAUCCAUCUUUGUACGUGGUGGAAUAAUAAAAUCAUAUGUGCACACAUCAAAAUUUUAGAUGAAAAUUAUUUGGUUCCUGACCCUGAACAAAUUGUGAUGGGAGAACCUUAUUGGCUUGAUGCAUACAUGUUAAAUAAACUCAUCUCAUACCAAAUUUUAUUUGAGAGAUUUGUUCUCAUAGUCAUUGGUCUAGCUAUAAUUGGAGGCAAACAAUUUUUGCUAAACCAACCAGUAUUAUCAACAUAAUUUUAUAGUUUGGAAUUGUGCUCUUAAUUUAACAAUUUGAGCAAACAACCUUACAAAAACCAAUUUGUAAGUUGAUACAAAUGCACAAGUGACCAUACCAUAGAUGCAUCUAUUAAAUCAUAAUAGUAAGCGGUCCACAUGGCAGGUGAACGUGCUCAUAUUCACCUUUUUAUAUGUUCCAAAUAAUUUCAGGGGAUGCAAUCCCAACCUUAGCUGGUACAAUGAUCAUUUUUAUCAUGAGAACAAGCAACACAAGAGAAUUCUUGAAGAAUCUUUUAUUUCUUCAAACACAGUCACAUGAAUUCUCAAUUCUUUUGCAUCACAUUUGAAUCGGAAUGGCCAACCGAUUAUGCCAAUUGAUAUUUAUUCUAGUAAACUUCUAGUUUACUUUUGCAUGUGAUUCCAUCAUCAUGCCCAUAUUUGUAUACAACAAACAACAGGAAAAAAUGAGUAAUCUUAUACGUAAAUAUUUAUAACCCAAUUUUAGUUGUAGUAAUUUGAAGAUAAUAAAUCUUCCCAUAGUUUAUAGUCUCAAUAUAAUAUUUUUUUCUUUUCAAUUCUUCUUAAACUUAAAAAGUUUCUUUUGAGACUUACUACAACCCCAAUAUUAUGAACAAUUUCAUUCCUCCGGAUAGUAACAAAUUAGCCCUUUCGGAACUCUCAAUUAAUUUUGUGUACUACCACAAAUUUCACAACGCCAUUCUUAUGGUUACCAUCUCCUUCAAGGAGUAAAUUAUUAUUAUUGUCAUGGUUAAAAUUAUCACAUGCAAGACUUAUUUCUUGACAAUCAAUGACAAAUUUGUGUUACCACACAACAAUAUUUAUUUUGGUCCACAACCUUUAUAGGAAAGAAUUAUUUAUUUCUUUUGUCCUUCAAUAGUUCAUAAUUUAACAUACCACAAUAUUUGUGUAGUAUAUAAAGUAUAUGACUAAAUGACCAUUUAUGUCAAAACAUUUCUUUGUAAUCUCUCAAAUCUCCCGUAGAUGUGAGAUGUGAUAUUUAUCCAACAAUACAUGAACAUGUUCUUAUCCAUAAGAACACAAGUCACAUUUUCUUUAAGAAAUGGACCAUAACCAUUUGAACAUGCUCCAUAAGUUUUUAUUAGAAACUCAUUGUCAUGCUUUGGCAAUAUCAAAUUUAUGUGACUCACCUCAACAUCACUUUAAGAGGUCAAAUGUACCAAAUGUACUACCACUUUGUAUUCCUUUAUUUAGAUGGAAGAUUUACAAAACUUUUCAAAUUUGGGUUGCACCAACAACAAUGUGCCCCAAUAACUUCUCAUACCACUUUGAUGGAUAAAAAUUACCUUCACAUUUGAAUGACCAUUUUAAGAACCCAUAAUGUUCUUCCUUUUAAUUACCACAAUGAUGACCAUUAACAUUUUUACACACCCAUAUUCAUAAAUUAUCACGCCCCGAGCCUACACCCUAGGCGGGACCGGCACUUGAAGACCAUUGCUGGCCCCAAGCGAACCCUUGGCCUGGCUUACUUAACUCAGCGGAAAACUUAACUCAACAAAAUAACUUCAUGCAAUGAAAGGUCAUAAAACCCCCUAACUGAUGGUAACUGGCCAAAAAGGCAACUCGUGUCUCAAAAUAGAAUAUUUAUAUAUAUACAUAGAUGAGAGACUCAAUACUAACUGACUGACUGACUCUAUAUGAAGCCUCUAUAACACUGAGAUGGAUGUUGGGACAGACCCCACAACAUCCUACCUAAUAAAGCAAAACUAGGAACACAAAAUAACAGAGUCCUCCGGAAGGCAAGGAGGCUCACCACUGACUCUGGAGUGCUCAGCUGGAUCAACGGCGUGCUGGAUGCUAAUUCUGGGUACCUGCGUCUUCAUCAUCAUAAGAUGCAGGCCAACUGACAUCAGUACAUUGAAUGUACGAGUAUGCGAGCUGGAAACCUAAACAACAACUUAAGCUUGAAAGGAGUACAAACACUACAACAAAUUUGAUUAUUUGAGACGAAAUAUUUUGUCACUUUAAGUUCAUAUUUCGUCACAAAAGGAAUUUUGUGACGAAAAAAAAUUCGUCAAGCAUUCGUCCCUAAAGCAUGGGUCACUAAAUGUAUAUUGAGACGAAUUAGUGUUUUGUCACAGAUUAGAGAUGAAUUGACUACGAAACUAUUAUUCGCCCCCAAAUGAAUAGUAUUCAUGACAAACUUGAUUGUCAUAGAAUUAUAUUUUUUUUUGUAGGUAAUAGCAUUUUUUCGUCACUAAAGAAGUUAAAUUGGUGACGUGAAUGAUGGCGUCACUAACUAUUUAUUUGAAUUAGUGAUGAUUUGUUUUGUCUCCAAUCAUCUAUCUAUUUUGUCAUUGAACAAAUAUUAUUUCAUCACUAAAAACUACCUUUCACAUAUGCAUUAUCUUUUUGUCACUAAUAACAAAUAUUUGAUGACAUUUUAAUUUGUAGCUAUAGUAUUUACGAUUUGAUUUAGUUAUUUAGGUUUCUGCUAAUUUUAAAAUUAUCAAAUCAUAUAUAAAUUAUAUAUACGUAACUUCAAUGGAAAGAGCAUUUAUACAAACUAAAACUAGCUAAUAACAUACUAAAAGAAGUAAGAUAACAUAAAAAAAAUCUUUUCAAAACACCGUCAUAAAUUAAUUAGGAAAGACCAAAAUAACAUUCAUGAGAUGAUAUCUCAUUACAUACGCCUUAAAGAAAAAUCAACAUCAACAAAAUUUGGUCCAACUUGAAAAAUGUAACUUAGAUAUACUAAACAUUAAAAAGAAACGAAGUAAUAAAAUUGAGGUUGCUUCUCAAAAUAUCAUUGCAAAAGCACUUCUUUAAUAGUUAGUCCUGAUUUCCAUCUUACACAACCUGUGUAAACAAAAAUUUAAGAUUUUAUUUCAUAUAUAGGGUAAUUUAAGCAUCAAAGAAACAUAUAUAUACAAUUAGAUCACUCAUACAACCUGUGUUGAAUUUUAAAUGUGUAAUUGAGGGAAUAUGAUCACUCAUACACUUUCCGUGCAAAUUAGAUUCAAGAGUACAUACAUAAUGUUUUUUCGAAGGGGAAAGCUAACAGAACACAAUUGAAACACAAUUAUUCUAGAACAAGAAAGCUAACAGUACUCAUGAAUUGAACUAACAGUAAACAACAAAUUACAUGUUCAGGAAGAGGAAAGCUAAUAUGAAAACAGAGAAAACAAACACAAUUGAAGAGGAAAGCUAAUAGAACACAAUUCAACAGAUGAUUCCACAAUUAUUCUUGAACAAGAAAGCUAACAAUACAUAAAUUGAACUAACAGUAAACAACAAAUUACAUGUUCAGGAAGAGGAAAGCUAAUAUGAAAACAGAGCAAACAAACACAAUUGAAAUCUCUCAUGCGUAGAACAUAGGUUUGGUUCGACAAUUCGUUUUUUGGUGAUUUACGUCCAACCUCAAUGAAAGCUUUGAUCUUUUAAACUUUCACUUCAAUAAAAUAUCAAAAUUGUGGCAAUUUACCAUAACCAGAAACACCAACAUCUGACAAAAUUCAGUUAAGGUAAGGAAAUAAAUUAAUAUAGGUCAAUAUAUAAUAAUAUUGUAGAGAAUCAGGCGAAGCAAAUAAAUUCAAAGAAAGAAGUAAAAUCAGUUCAAAUCAAGUAGCAACAUAAAUGGACAAUUUGUGGUUCAAAUAAAUUAAGGCAAAAGUAACCACAAAGAAUGAUCAAUUAAAUUAAGCAAAGCAAUCCAUUGACAUAUCAAAUCUUACUCAAAUACACUCAAAAAUCAGUAGCUCUAUUUGUGAUUGAAUCAAAGUGGUGCUAUUGCAAAAUGCUAGAGCGAAUGAACAAAUUUAGGCUAUCAUAAAUCACAACAGUUCAUGCUUAAGAUGAGAUUCACAAAUUACAUGACUUUAACAAUCUAAACAUGCAAUAAGACUUCUAAUCGGAAAGCAAACGGCCAUUUGAGAAAUGAGAUAACUAUUAAAGAAACUAACCCACGAAUCUGUUAAGAUCCGUCUCGAAAUCUCAAACUGUGUGUUGACCAGACUCUAUUGGUGCUCGUAUUUGCCGUCCUCACCAUAAAAUGUGAGGAACGACGC